GGGGAUAUAACUCAGUUGGUAGAGUGCUUGUCUUAUAUGCACAAGGCCUUGGGUUCAAUCCCCAGCUCCACCA
rfam:Ictidomys tridecemlineatus contig065081, whole genome shotgun sequence.